rnacentral:lncRNA from 1 species
UGAAUCUGAAGUUAUUGCAAAAUUUACUCUAAUCCCUGUUUAGACCUUUGGUUUAUGUGAAAACAGAGCAAAAUUAAGAGUUUAUUUUCAUCCCAAAGACUAAAAAAAGUCACGCAAUGUUUUCUUUGGCUUUCUCAUCUUUUUCUUACUCUUUCCCAUCAACCAAAUGGUUUAUUGAACUCACAGAAGAAAGUCCAGUUCCUAAAAGCUUAAAAACUGCUCCAAUCUGAAUGGUUUUAAAUUGCAAUUUUGCAGGAGUUACUUCAAUCUCCGUGGAUAUGAAGGACAAGAAAUUGACUGUAAUCGGAGAUGUGGAUCCAGUAUGCAUAGUGAGCAAGUUGAGGAAGUUUUGCCGCACAGAGAUAUUAUCAGUUGGACCAGCAAAAGAGCCAGAGAAGAAGAAGGAGCCUAAGAAAGAGGAGCCCAAGAAAGAAGAGAAGGACCCUAAAGAUCAAUGGCCUGAUCUUGUUAAAGCAUGCCAAGCCUAUUGCCCUUGCUAUGCCCCACACUACUGUUAUAUUAGAAGUGUGGAAGAAGACCCAAAUGCUUGUGUCAUUUGUUAAUCACCAGAUCAUAGAAGAACCCAAAAAGGCAAAAGCAAUAGUAUCUGUCAAUGGGUGAUUAUAGAUAUGGGUCUUCCAUAAUGAUGGUGCAUUCAAGAACAGAAGCCUUAUGUACAGUAGUGGAUGAUUAGUAUUGUAUGCCAGAUUUGAUUUGGAAUGUAUCAUAUUUUGGGUUGUUUUUUUCCAUGAAUGGAGUAAGAACUUGGAGUUGCUAUGAUAAUUGAAUAUCGUGUCUCCUUGGUGAUGGAAAUUUGAGAUGACAACAUAGAAAAGAAUAUCUCCUUUUGUUUCAAUUAUUUCAUACCCUUUUAAGCUUUUGGAAGAAGAAGAAAAAGGGAACUUGGAUACUUGAUUAUUGAGUGGCUCACUACCAUACAAAUUACAAUCCAAUGAUAAUGAUCUAGAGACUGAAAAUUUUGCUGUUCUAUUUGUUUCAAAUUAUUGUGACUAUAUGUCUCUCAAUUCUACUUUUGUGGGAGUUCCUAAAGAAGAUAUUUUACAUAUUUUGUGAUGAUGGAUACAAGGACCGUACGAAUAUGAAGAAGAAAUAAUCAACCAAUUUAUUGAAUUCAAUACACAAAUUCCUUGGAGCUGUAAUACUACCCACACAAUAAAGAACUCACACACAUGGACACCAAAGAAACGAUAAUCAAAACACAAAGGUUUACAUGGUUUGAUAAAAAAUUGACCUACAUCCACGAAUUGUAGCAAUAAUUUUUACUAUUUGUAGUCAAUGAUUCAAGGCAAAACAUACCAGAACAAUUUCCCUCUAAAUAAACCCCCAAAUUACAAGCACACAACAACGUGCUUACUUGCCUUGAUUUUUUAUAUUUUAUCUUUCUAUUCUGCCACCCUUAACAGUAGGCCACAAAUCUGGUUUGAUUUACACCUCAUUUCCUAUUCCAUAUUGUUUCCCAAAAAACCAAAUCCCCUAUUUAAUUUUUUAGAAACAGAAAAUUCAAAAUGAAAAAAUCAUCCAUCUUGACUGUAAAAUCUAAUAUGAUGACAAAUGUCCAGAAGCCAAAUUUUGACACAAAUCUCUGCUUGGCUUUGCAUUUAUCAUCCAAUUGCUGCUACUCAAUCUUCUUUUAGUUGCUUAGAAUAUUUAUCAAGCUCAAGCAAUGCUUGAACUUGAUAGUUGUCAAUGCCUUCGUCAACAUAUUAGUUGGGUUGUCAUUCGUAUGAAUCUUCUCAAUCACAACUUCACCUUUCGACACCACAUCUCUCAGGAAAUAUAACUUGACAUCUAUAUGCUUUGUUCUUUCAUGAAACAUGGUAUUCCUUAUCAAGUAAAUUGCACUCUGAUUAUCACAUUGAACCGCCAACGUCUUCUAUGCCAACCCUAGCUCACCAAUCAUCCCUUUAACCCACAAAGCUUCUUUCACAGUUUCCGUAAGAGCUACAUAUUCAGUUUCCGUCGAGGAUAGAGCCACCAUGGAUUGAAGACUAGCUUCCAGCUUAUAGUACCACCAAACAACGUGAAAACAUAUCCUGUCAAGGAUUUCCUUGUGUCCGCACUUCCUGCAUAAUCAGAAUCUACAUACCCUUCUACAACACCUAACUCUCCAAUAGCUUCAUCUCCAUAGAGAAUUCCAACAUCAGUAGAUUCCUUCAAAUACCUUAGGACAUUUCAUAGCAUUCCAAUGUUCCCUUCCUAAAUUUGACAUAAAUCUACUUAUCAUGCCGAUGACAUAGGCCAAAUCUGACUUACUACAUACCAUUGCAUACAUGAUGCUACCAACAACACUAGCAUAUGACAUUUCCUCCAUGUACUUGACUUCCUCCUCAAUCUUAGGUGAAUUCUCUGCUGUCAUUUUAAAGUGUUGUGCCAGUGGAGUGUUAAUAGGUUUUUCUUGACUCGUGCUAAACCUCUCCAAAACCUAAUUACAUGCCCUUUUUAAGUAAGCUUUAAUGUCUUCCUUUUCCUAUCACAUGAUAUCUCCAUUCCAAACAUUCUUUGGGUAGGUCCCAAAUCUUCAUCUUAAAUUUUCCUUUCAAUUGUUUCUUCAAAUCUUCAAUUGCUGCCUUGUCACAACUUACCAACAACAUGUCAUCAACAUACAAUAGAAGAUAGACAUUACUAGCACUUGAUUUCUUCUUGAAGUAAACACAACUAUCAAAUUGGCUUCUUUCAAAACCAUUAUAUAUUAUGAGAUCAUCAAAGCACUUAUACCAUUCUCGAGGGGACUAUUUCAAACUAUACAAUGAUUUCUUUAAUAGACAAACCUGAUCUCCCUUGCUUUUAAUUUCAAAACCUUCGGGUUGCCUCAUGUAAAUAGUCUUCUCAAGCUCACCAUGAAAAAAUGUUGUUUUGACAUCCAUUUGCUCAAGCUCCAUGUCAAAAUGUGCCACCAUAAUUAGCAAAAUCUGGAUUGAACUAUGUUUCACCACCAAAGAGAAUAUUUAUGUGUAAUCCAUUCCUUAUUUCUGUGUAAAACCUCUAGCAACCAACUUGGCUUUGUACCGUGUUUUCUCUACUCCUAGUAUAGUCUUUUUCUUAUUAUAAAUCUACUUACACUUGACAAGCUUCUUAUCUUUUGGUCUCUCCACAAAACCCAAGUCUUGUUUUUAUAUAAUGAUUCAAUUUCAUCUUCCAUGGUCUCUUGCCAUUUUUCUUUGUCAUCAUAGCUCAUUGCUUGUUGACAACUUUUUGGUUCUCGAUUUAAAGACUCACUAGCAGUUGUAAGAGCAAAAGCUACUAUGUCUUCAUAACCAUACUUCUGAGGCAGUCUUAUAACUCUUCUCUACCUGUCUCUCGCCAAUUGAUAAUCAUCACACCCUUGUUCCUGGUAAUGUUGAGUGUAGACCCUCCAUUUUGCCCUCCUAGCACAUGUCCUAUUAGGUUUUCGUUCGGUACUUUACAACAAUUCCUUGACGACCCAUUACUAUUCAUGUAACUUAUUUUUUCCGAGCCACCUUGGAAACUUUGGUUGAGAGGUUGAUUCGGCUCCUCCUUAUGACCUUGGCCGCCCUUCGAGUUUAGAUUAGGCUUCACUUAGAUGUACUUUAGGUUAGAUUUAGUUAGGCCCACUUAGACUCACCAUAGGGCCAUAUAGAUAUACCCGACCCAUUAGACACCACCUUAGGCCCAUCUAGAUUUGCUCAGGCUCACCUAGGUACACUUGGCCCCUUAGGCCUACCUAGGUCACUUAAGCCCACUUAGGUCACUUAGGCAUACUUGACCCAUUAGUCAUUAUUAGUGUGGCUUGUAUGACUCGCAUGGUUGCAUGGCUUGCAUGACUCAUUUUUCUUAUUUCCUUAUUUUUAUUUUUGUUAUUAUUAUAAAUCACUUUUAUUUAUUCAUGUAUUAUAUUUAUUUAUUUAUUUUAUUUUUAUUUUUAUUAUUAUCAAUCUCUUAUUUUUAUUUAGUUAUUUAUUUAUUGAUUUCAUUUACUUAUUUAUUAUCUUGCUAUUUAUUCAUUUAUUUUUUUAGAUUUUUUUUAUCAUUCUCUAAAUUUUUUAUUCAUUUUUGAUUUAAUAAUUUGAUGUUUUUAUAGAAAAAUCUACCAACGGAUAAGAAUAGUUGAUUCUUGUAAAACUAGGAGAAAGAAAGAAACUUUUUUGGGGCGUUAUUGAAGAUCACCUUUGGAGGGUUAAAAUAGGGAUGAAGAAAUUUUUAAAAAAGAUGGUUUUCUUUGGGUGAUAGACACGGAUUGGUUUUUGGAAAUUCCAAAGGAUUUUUCUGGUGGAGAAAACACGGAAUUUGGAGAGAGGGCCUUCUCCUCCAGGCAAUACAUGACUGCCACUUGCUAUUUUUCUAGUGGGGGAGAUGUGGAAUAUGUUGAGGUCUCGCGUCCUUGGUGAUCCACGUAGUUGCUGCAAAGAUGGAUGGACGCACGAUCUCAACCAAUAUAGAUUCCUGGUUCAGUCGUUCCUGCAAAAAACGUUCGGACGGGGUGUCCGUACGCACCCUCCGAUGGUUUUGUUAGCCAUGGUUUAGAGAGAUAAAUCAGUUGGCUUUUUUACUAGGUAUAGCAAGCUUACCUUCCUCUUUGUGUGAAGGUUCAUAUAUAUAGUACCAGAAGCUUUGUUUCCCUCUUUAAUGGUAGGGAGAUAUUUUGGCUUGUCAUGAUGCCUCUAGGUAGUGACAGGGCCAUCAUCACUCAUAGGGCGGCUGCCAGCGAUCGUGGGAGGUGCCGCAGCUGUCAGAGAUCGUGGGAAGUGACUUGCCAUCACUUCAUUCCUGUCAUCUCAUUCUGCAAGUGACGGAACGUGGGUCAUGGCAGGCUGUUGCGAUGACGUGCAAGACUUGCUUACUUCAGUCAAUGAUUAGGACGAACAUAUCCGGAUAGUAUAUGUCGGUCGUCCGGAUGUGAUAUGUCGGUCGUCCGGAUGCGAUAUGUCGGUCGUCCGGAUGUUAUGUUUGUGAGUGUUGUGUGCCUCUCCUUAAGGGAGUCCGGAUAGGAGAAACGCGCCACGUGUACUCUUGGGGAAAUCCGGAUGAGAUUGAUCCGGAUGAGAAUGUGUGCCACGUGUCAUCAGGAGAUGUUUGCCACGUGGGGGGGGGGGGGGGGGUCCUUACAAUGCCCCCCUUUUAACUUGCUCAUUUUGCCUUGGCAAAAUGGGCGGGUUAAAAAAUGAUUGUUUUUCGGAAACCAAAGUUGACUUUUUUGCUUGAUUAGGCCACGUGGUGAGCGGGGGCAAAGAGAGAGAAGAACAUUUAUGAUGAGCCGUCGUCUCUGUGUAUUCCCAGGCAGCGUGUCGUUUUAAUGAUGGCGUAGCUGAGCGUUUGGUAUACUGAGGGGCUGUUGCCAUAUAAAUAGCAUACUGUGCCUUCUGUUUGCAUUUUUUCCUACUGCGUUUUUCCGUUAGUGCUUCUUCUUCUACCUUCUGCAUUCCUUUGUUUCCGAGUGAAGCCCUAGGGUUUUCUGCUGGUGAUUUUCGCGUCUUGACGGUGACUGCAUUUGCGGUUUUUAACCCUACUUUUCCGGUUUACACUUGGUACGUUCGCUUUUCUUGUUUUCUCAUUUUUUGUGGUUUGUUGGGCACGUUGCUUUGCGACUGGAAGUUGGUAUUUUUGGUUUCUAGGGUUUUUUCAGGGGGUAUUGACUGUGUUUUGGGUGGGUUUAGGAUUUCUGUUGCCCCCCUUGUGCCUUUUGUGGGCCAUCGAUUCUUCUUUGGGGUAGAGUUCAAGGUUGUGGGGUUUGGAUUGCUGUGUUUGACUGUUGUCCUUCUUUCAUGCAGGUUUCAUUUCAGUCUCAGGCUAAAAAAUGUCUGCAAACAUGGAAGCUACCUCAUCUGGCCCGUCCAGCGAUGCUCAUGAGAAAUCUGUGGAUAAGCUGAGUGUAAAGGAGUUCUGCGAACGUUUCUGUAUCCCAAAUGGCGUGCUUGUGGAACUGAUGGAUGGAGAAGCGGUGUCUACUGAGAAAGCUGAAGACAAUGCCAUUAUUUUUUCAAAGGAGCAAUUCAACGCUGGGCUCCGAUUCCCCCUCCCGUCACUGUUCAAGGAAUUCCUUCACUUCACACAGAACCCACCAACCUUCAUUCACCCCAAUAUAGUCCGGGUGCUGAUGGGAUGCAGCGUUCUCAGCCUGCUUUUCAACUUGGACCUCUCGCUGUUGAAGGUUCUGUUUGUCUACUCCCUCAAGAAGGGAAAUAAUGACAUUUUUAGCAUGGUUGCCCACCUACCUUCCCUUCAACUGGUGAUUGAGUUACCGGAUUCAACAAAGGGAGGAACCAAGGGACAUGUGUUGGUCUGGGGUGCCUAGGCUGGUCUUCUGGGGCAUCCGGAGAGGCCAUUUUCCCCAAACCAUUCGUUGGUGCUUCCGGGUAAGGCAGUUUGCGGGUUUUGUCCGGUAUUUAUCUUGUUGUACUGCUUGUGGGGGUUAUCAUUUGGCUUAACAUCUUUGUUUGCUGAUAAUGCAGGUCCGGACAAGAGGGGUCGCGUAGUCGAGUGGGUAGAAAAAGCGUCUUUCGCCCGGCUGAACAAGUUAUUUGAGCUUUCUGCCGCCGAGAGGCACCAUGAGACGCUGCUCACUGCGCGAAACCUGUUAGCCGUUGUUCGGGAGCCCCAAGCAUAUAUCAUCAAUAUUCUCCCCAGGAAGCUGCCAAAGACGGUAGUGCCUGUGGAGCAUUACAUUCUGAAAGACCUCCCUUUCUACAAGGAGGUGCAAAAGGCAGACGCUAAAAAACGCCAAGCGCUCCUUGACGAUCGGGAGGGGAGGAGAAAAGAGGGAACCUUGCGAAAGGCCCCUGGCAAAAAACGGUCUGCACCCUCUCUUCCCGCUGGCGCCCUAACGAAGAAGAAGAAGAAGGUUUCAAAUAAGGGGAAGGCAGUGAAACUUCCAACUCCCCCGAAGAAGUUUGUAAUUCCCCCUUCAACUUAUAUGAAAGAGGUAACAAUAAGAGAGUCAGAGGUUCCCCCCUUGCCUUCUGUCUCAAGCGACUUCGGACGCUUCGCGGGGCUGAACCAUUCGGGGCCUUCUUUGUCAGUGGCUGGACGCCUGACACUGGUGGCUGAAGAAGCUACUUCAAUAAAUCAACCCGGCUCUCCCCAUCCGGAUGCGGACGCAGCCAGGGCCCCUUGUGCUGCAGCGUUGCCUCCUAUGGCACCCGCAAUGGAAGAAAAUGGGGUAGAAAGUCAGGGUUUGCCUCCCUGCGGGCCAAACCCUCCUGCCCUUGUACCGGUGAAGGGGUCAGCUAGAAGGAGGUCGCGUCCAGCGCGAGACCUAAAGUUCGGCCUCAUCGGGCGGCUUCAGGAUCAGUUCUUGGAAACCAUCGAAGUCAGCUGCUCGUCCGUCCAUGAUGAUCAUCCGGAGGAAAGCGAGGCAGAGAUGGCAGUAGAGAACCCACCUGUCUCGGUGGUGGUUCCGGAUGGGGAUUCACCCGAAGCAACCCAGCCGGCCGAAACUGAUGAGACCCCAGACCCGGAGGAGGAGUCACUCUCCAAUGCUUCAUCAGGGGGGAAUCCAGUUGAUGAUGCAGCUUGCAUCCCUGCUAGCGCUUUCAGCUACGCGGAGUUGGAAGAGAAGUUGAAACGGAUUCCACCCGGCUCAGACGUUGCCAUGCCAUCAGUAAAAAUGUUUGAAGUGGUGGAAACGGUAUAGUUUUACUUCUUGAUUUUUCUUGCCAUACUGAUGUGUUUGUGGCAUGGUUUGUAGCUUUGUGGAAAUGGUAUAGUUUUACUUCUUGAUUUUUCUUGCCAUACUGAUGUGUUUGUGACAUGGUUUGUAGCUUUGUUCUUCUUUCUUGUGUGUUUUUCUGCAGCUGGUGAGCGGUCUUCGCGGCAUGGUCCAACAACAUGAUCUCUUCUCUAACCUGCUGCAAACCACUGAUUAUAUGAAGGCCUUCGUCUCUUAGCGCAGAAACAGUGAAGAUGAGCUGCGUUUGAGACUAGAGCAGGCUAAGACCAGUUUAUCUGCAGCUCGAAAUGAGAACGAAGGCUUCCGGAUGGAACUAGCUGAGGCAAAGAGCCGGGAGGAAACUUUGGAUGCCCGUUUGCUUGAGGUGGAGGAUGAGAAGGCUCUUCCGAGGGGCGAGGUGAGGCAACUCCGGACGGAGGUAUCUAUCAAGAAAAAAUAGAGAGAAGAUUUGCAAUUGCGUUUAUCAGCGCAAAAAGAAGAGCUGGAGGUUGAGUUUGCUGCGGAAAGGGAGGAACUUGAAGCGGACUACCAGAAGCAAGUAGAUGAAAUGUACUUCUUUGGCUAUCGCUGCUGUAUGAAGAAACAUGGCAUCAAACGGGAUGUCCCUUCGAUUCCCCCGGGUGAGGAGGAGAAACUGCGCGGCAAGCCUGCUCAAUGAGAGUUUUUAUUUUUGUAAUAAUUUUUGUACUGCUAUAUUUCUCGCUGUAUUUUGUAGUCCGGAGGACUCUUUGUACAUAACUUCACAAAUAUCAAUAAAAUAUACUUUUUCAUAUUUGUUCUUGUCUUGUUCUUUCAUUGGUAAUACUGUUUCAAAUUAGACACAUUCCAUGGUUUAAGUAAUGGAGUUCCAUCUAGCUUUUGUAGAUGAUAAACUCCACUUUCACUUGACUUAGAUACUAUAUAGGGUCCUUCCCAGUUGGUUUGAAAUUUUCCUACACCUAUUUCAGCAGUAUUUUCGAAAACUUUUCUAAGGACCAGCGUACCAUUUUUGAAGCUUCUGGGCCUUACUUUGCGAUUGUAAUGAGCGGAUGCCCUUUGUUGAUAGUCUGCCAUCCGGAUGGAUGCAGUUUCUCUUACUUCGUCUGCCUAGUCUAAAUUUCUUCCUAACUCCUCAUUUGCAUCAUCCUGCAUUCCUGCCUCAGUCCGGAUAGUGGGUAGCCCUAUUUCAGUAGGAAUGAUUGCGUUCAUACCGUAUGCGAGGGCAAAAGAGUGUUUCCUGUCGGGCGUUCGGGUGUGGUUCGAUAAGCCCAUAGGACGCCGGGUAGCUCCUCCACCCACUUUCCUUUUGCUUGCUCGAGCAUUUUCUUUAAGGCAUUGAUUAACGUUUUGUUCGUGGCUUCUGCUUGCCCAUUACUUUGAGGAUAACGCGGUGUGGAGUAUGAAUUCCGGAUGUUCAGUUCCGAACAGAAAUUCCGGAAGGCAAUGCUAUCAAACUGUGGACCAUUGUCGGCUAUAAUGGUUUGGGGGAUUCCGAAGCUACAGAUGAUGUUUUUCCAUACGAACUUGGUAACGUCCUUAUCUUUGAUGCUAGCAUAUGGUUCAACUUCCACCCAUUUACUGAAGUAAUUCGUGGCGACUAGUAGAAAUUUCUUUUGGGCGGAUGCAGCUGGGAGAGGUCCUACUAUGUCCAUGCCCCACUGUGCGAAGGGCCAGGGGCCUGAAAUUGGUUUCAAAGUCUCCGACGGCAUAUGUGGAAUGGGGGCGUACCUUUGACAUUUGUCACAUUUUUUUACAUAGGCUGCUGCAUCCUUCUUCAUUGUAGGCCAAUAAUAUCCUUGCUAAUGGGCCUUAUGCGCCAGAGAUCGUCCUCUAGAAUGAUUUCCACAUAUUCCCUCGUGCAACUCAGCUAAUACGUAUAGGGCCUCUGAAUGGUUUAGACAUCGAAGGUAGGGACCUGUGAAGGAUCGCUUGUACAAGUGCCCCCCAAUCAGGGUGAAACGGGCGGCUUGCACCCGGAUCUUGUGUGCCUGUUUGGGAUCCUCGGGCAGAGUGCCUGUUCGGAGGUACCCUGUAAUGUCGUUCUUCCACUCUUGGCCGUCUGGUUGUUUUGCCUCAAUGGUGUUGCAAGUAGAAGCUUCCGUGACAGAGGGGUUGGUUUGCACAUGUAUAGGCAACAAUAUGGCUUCUUUGAUGGGGAGGGAGGCAGCUAUGCCUGCCAAGGCGUCGGCGCGCCCAUUUUCAGUUCGUCUGAUUUUUUCGAUCGUCCACUUGGUGAAUCAUUAUAAGGUGUCCCUUACUUUAGCUAGACAUCGCGCCAUGCGCGCAUCCUUAGCUUCAUAUUCCUUCUGGACGUGUUUGACCACAAGUUGAGAAUCGCUAUAAACAUGGAGUUUGGAGACGGAUAGAGCCAGGGCGAGGGCCAAUCCGGAUAGGAUGACCUCAUAUUCCGCUUCAUUGUUAGAGGCAGGGAACCUCAGCCGGAUGGAUUGCUCCAGAUGUUCUCCUGUUGGGGAUUGCAGGAGGAGCCCUACCCCGGACCCUGACGAUCGGGAGGCUCCAUCGACUCGCAAAGUCCACCACUCUUCUUAUCUUGGCUCCUUGUGUUGGAUGGGCCUUCGGGAGUAUUCUAACACGAAGUCAGCCAUUACUUGACCUUUCAUAGACAAUCUGGGUUGGAACUCGAUUCCAAAUUCGCUCAAUUCUAUGGCCCAUUGUAGCAUUCUUUCGAUUAAGUCCGGUUUGUGUAGAAUGUUGCGAAGGGGUUGGUCAGUUAAAAUGACCACCGGGUGGGCUUGGAAAUAGGGGCAGAGCUUUUGGGCAGCACUUCGAAGAGCUAAGGCCGUUAGUUCCAUAUUUGAGCAUCUGGUUUCUACGUCUGCCAAUGCUCUGCUGACAUAGUAGAUAGGUUUCUGCUCCUUGGGUGAAGGGCAGCGGAAUAGAACAGCGCUAAUCGCCCACUUUGAUACAGCUAGGUACAUGUACAAUUUUUCACCAGUGUUGGGGCUGCUCAGGAUGGGCGGUUGCAUGAGACAAUGUUUAAUUCUUUGAAAAGCGUUUUGACAGCUGUCUGUCCACUCGUUGGCUCCAGCUUUGCGUAUUGCUAAGAAGAAUGGUCGCAACUCAUCAGUGAAUCGGGCUAUAAAACCCCCAAGCGCGACAAGCUUGCCUGUGAGGCGUUGUAAUUCAUUUUUGUUUUUUUUUUUGGGGGGGGGGGGUGUCUAUGACCGCUUUCACUUGAUCCGGGCUAACCUCUAUCCCCCUUUGAUUGACCAUAAAUCCCAGGAAUUUGCCAGCACUGACGCCAAAGGCGCAUUUGGAAAGAUUUAGUUUCAUGUCAUACUUCCUUAAGAGUCGGAAGACUUCUUGUAAAUGGAGGACAUGCUCCUCUCGAGUUUUGCUUUUGACCACAAUAUCGUCAAUAUAUACCUCUACUGUGCGGCCGACAAAAGGUUUGAAGAUCUUUGUCAUCAGUCUCUGAUAAGUGGCGCCAGCGUUUUUGAGUUCGAAUGACAUGACUUUAUAGCAAUAGAGACCAUGUGGCGUUAUUAAGGCUGUUUUUUCUUCAUCAUCCGGGAACAUGGGGAUUUGGUGGUAUCCGGAGAAGGCGUCCAAGAAAGAGAGCAUCCCUUGCCCAGCAGUGGAAUCGACAAUUUGAUCUAUCCGUGGCAAAAGAAAACUGUCUUUUGGACAUGCAUUAUUGAGGUUGGUGUAAUCGACGCACACCCGCCAUUUGCCUUCUUUUUUGGGUACCAUUACUACAUUUGCUAACCACUCCGGGUAAUCCACUUCUCUGACGAAUCAGGCUUCUAGUAACUUGUUAAUCUCAUUCCGGAUAAUUUUUUGUCUGUUCGGGUGAAAACGCCUAACCCUUUGCCGGAUGGGUCUGCCUGUUGGUAAGACGUUGAGUCUAUGAGAGGUAAUGGAGGGAUGAAUUCCUGUCAUAUCAGAAUGUGCCCAUGCGAAGACGUCGUGGUUUUGUCUGAGGGCGUUCUGUAUAUUCUGAGUCUCUUCUGGUGUCAGGAGGGAACUGAUGUUCGUAAGGUGAGUACCUUCUUCUGAAAUUUGGAUUGUUUGCAAGGGAUCUGCUGCCGGGGGAUCUUUGUCCGCCGGACCCAAUAAUUGCUAUUGGUCACUUGUAAGGCUGGACUCAGGGAGGGAUGCAUUCUCCUGGCUGGUCCCUGCUUCUCGUGCUAUCUGGUAGCAUUGGCGAGCGGCUAACUGGCUGCCAUAUAGGUCAGUUUGCCCAUCCUUGGUAAGGAAACUUACCAUUUGAUGAUAUGUAGAGGAGAUGACUUUCAUGUAAUGUAGCCAUGUGCAGAUGACAUUGAAGGGUGAUAAAUCUUGUACCACCGAAAAUUGUACGUGAUAGUGACUGGGCUAGCUUGGACCGGCAGUAUAAUGUCUCCCAAAGAAGUAGUUGACGACCCGUUGAAUCCGGAUAGGAUUUGUCCAGGGUUUUAGAGGCCUGUAAGCUUGUGCCCCAUGUGGCUAACGACCGAUGCUUGCACAAGAUCGGUCGAGCUGCCCGGGUCAACCAGGAUGCGUCUCACAUCGAAGUCUCCUAUUUCUAGGGACAUGAUGAGGGCGUCGCGGUGCGAUUGCAAUAUCCGAGUGGGGUCUACUGGUGGGAAAAUGAUUGUCCCAUCUAUGGGGCGGGGCCCCCCUCCAGUUAUCCCAGGUCGGAUGGAGUUGAUACGCUCACGUACCGAUGCGGCCGCAACAACUUUUGUCUCUUUCGUUUGGAGUCAUACUCCUCGUCAGAUGAGUCUCCGUUAAUGUGGUUUAUAACGGUUUUGGGGGCGGCUGGGACCCUGGGGGCUCCAGUGUUGUGGUUUUGAGAAACGUUUUUACCUUCGGCAUCUGAGUGGAGGUAUUGCUUUAAGUGUCCCGCCCUUAUGAGCCUUUCGACUAAAUAAUGGAGGCACCUGCAUUCUUCCGUUAUGUGACCAUGCUCCUUGUGGAAGACACAUUUUUUGCUAUGAUCUCUUUUGGAUGGGUCUGCUUCAAGGGGUCUAGGCCACCUGAAGUCGGACAUGCCUUGGAUCAUAGGGAGAAGUUUCUCGUAUGAUAUGAAGAGAGGUGUGAGGGGCGGUCUUUCCGGGAGACCUGGCCCUUCCUGCCUUCGAUCGGACGGCCUUGGCUGGUCCGAAAGUUUGGCAUUUCUAUUCGCGCCACUUCUAGAUGCUUGUCCAGCAACCAAGACUUGCUGGGUGGCUGCUCGUACGUCAUCUUCGAGCAUUAAGUAUUUGUUUGCACGUUUGAACAAGUCGUCCAUCGUUGUUGGAGGCUUCUUAGCGAGUGAUUCGAAAAAUGGAGUGCCUGGACAGAUGCCUCGCUUGAAGAUCUGUAGGAUAGCAUCCAUACUGUAAGCCUCUACCUGAAGUACGGCUUGACCAAACCGUUUCACGAACUCCCUUAGGGAUUCGUUAUCUUGCAUGUUUAUGUUUUGCAGAGUGCUGAUGUUUUGUUUAUGUCGAGCAGAGCAUAAGUAUUGUCCCACGAAAGCCUCCGAUAAGUCCCUGAAAUUGUCAACAGAGUUGGGAGAUAGACGAUGAAACCAUGAGAGGGCCUGUCAUUGUAGGCUGGCGGGAAAUACUUUGCAUAGCAGCGCGUCGUUGCCUAUAUCAAGAGUCAUGAGUUGUCGAUAAUGCAUGAUAUGAUCGAAGGGGUCAUUGGACCCAUCGUAUGUGGAGAAUUUGGGUACAAGGAAUCCCCUUGGGGGCUCGUAAUGAAUGAUAUGAGAGCAGAAAGGCGUGGAGAGCAUGUCGCUCAGCCUUUUGCUGAUGGAGCCAAUAUGUGGCCCAUUUGGGAGGUUUCUCCCAGAUUGUCGUACCGCUAGGUAUGGUUGAACGUUCUGCACCAUAGGGGUGACCAUGGGGUCACGAUGUGGGAGAACAUUUUGUACCAUAGGGGUGACCAUAGGGUCAGGGUGCGCUUCCCAAGCUGUGGCUGCUGGUGGCCUUGGUCUCCCAGGCUCUCGUGGGCCUAGUCUCGCGUGCAUUGAAUUUGACAACUAGGAUUUUCUAUCGCGUUGCCUUUUUGCUGAAAAAUGAGUGGAGUCCGAGCUUUCCUCACGGGGAGCUUGAGGCAUGGGCGUGUGUGGCUCAUGGGGCCUCACGUUGUAUGUUCCUGGGAUAGCUCCCGAUGUCCCAGGAUAUAUUGACUCUGGUUCUGGCCUUGAGUUUGCUACCUGGCCUCUUGAAUGCUGACGACGAGGAGGCCCCGAUGUUGAAGCCUAGAUGCGUAGUACCACAUUUUCUUCUCUUAACCUUUCUGUUUCCCGGAGGAGAGCUUGCAGUUGUCGUUUGCUUGCCAACUGCCUUCUUUCGAUGGCUUGGCACCAUUCAGAAUGAUCUUCUUCUCUCUUACCAGAUGAACGACUUUGGGAAGGUGUGGCCAAUGUUGAGGCCUCGCGUCCCUGGUGAUCCACGUAGUUGCUGCAAAGAUGGAUGGACGCACGAUCUCAACCAAUAUAGAUUCCUGGUUCAGUCGUUCCUGCAAAAGACGUCCGGACGGGGUGUCCGGACGUACCCUCCGAUGGUUUUGUUAGCCAUGGUUUAGAGAAAUAAAUCAGUUGGCUUUUUUACUAGGUAUAGCAAGCUUACCUUCCUCUUUGUGUGAAUGUUCAUAUAUAUAGUACCAGAAGCUUUGUUUCCCUCUUUAAUGGUAGGGAGAUAUUUUGGCUUGUCAUAAUGCCUCUAGGUGGUGGCAGGGCCAUCAUCACUCAUAGGGCGGCUGCCAGCGAUCGUGGGAGGCGUCGCAGUUGUCAGAGAUCGUGGGAAGUGACUUGUCGUCACUUCAUUCAUGUCAUCUCAUUCUGCAAGUGGCGGAACGUGGGCCAUGGCAGGCUGUUGCGAUGACGUGCAAGACUUGCUUACUUCAGUCAAUGAUCCGGACGAGCAUAUCUGGAUAGUAUAUGUCGGUCGUCCGGAUGUUAUGUUUGUGAGUGUUGUGUGCCUCUCCUUGAGGGAGUCCGGAUAGGAGAAGCGUGCCACGUGUACUCUUGGGGAAAUCCGGAUGAGAAUGUGUGCCACGUGUCAUCAGGAGAUGUUUGCCACGUGUAGGGGGGUCCCUACAGAAUAGGGAAAGAUGAGGACUUCUCCAAGAAAAUCGAGGUUGCCAUUAACUUAUGGGGAGAAGAAAAUAAACUAAAAUUUGAGAGGCUUUUGAACAUUUUGGAAUUCUUCUUUUCUGGACAAUACGGUGGAUUGGAAGAACACCACGACUGGUAGCACUUGAAAGGCUCCUCUAUGCACAGAUUGUCAUGCAUUGUCUAGAAUUGGGAGGAUCACUACCAGGCAGCUUGUAGAUGGAAAACUAGCACGCCUCUAUUGGAUUAGGCAAGUCAACAUGCACUUUUAGGAAAUGAAAUCAUGCACCAAAAAAAAAAUCUCCACAUGAGCCGCACUAUAGACUUUCCAUGAAAUGGUAGUCUUCGCGAAGAAAAAGUCAGACAUGAUUGCAUGGACAAGAGGGGCUACUAGAAUUUUUAGAGAGGAUCAGGCCACAACACAUUCUAAAAAGGAAGAGGAGACUCUUGUUUCAUUCAAGGAGAUCUUCUCUCCAAUUGGCACCAGGAAAUGAGGAACUUACAAAUUUUUUUUGGGAAGGAUUAAAAAUGGAUCUCUUUCUCUCCAUCGGAGAAACACAACUCAUCAUCAGAAAGGACUCUUGGGCGCACCAAACAUACAACUCCAACCAUUAGGACUUCGGACAUGAAUACGACUACAGAUUUUACAGGAAAAAGGGUCACGCUCCUAUAUAGAGGGGCUCCAGAACAUAGCACCAUGGAGGGAGAAAGGAAAGACAUGUUAGAAUUUUCUUUGGGAGGCAUAUACACGCACUAGAAUUUUUUUUUAGGAGUCCACGCACAGGUCAUGGAGAGUUUUCAUUCAUUAAGGGUCUGCCUAGAUUUUUCGAGAGAAAAAACAGGCUGCCACUCAACAUAUGGUAGUCGUACAGUCCAAUGCACCUCCAUGUGGGCUGCAACUUUGAGGGAAAACAACCAGCCGCACCACAAAAUUUCUCCAUAUGACACACCAUAUGAUGAAAGGAAGGUUACACCAUAAAAUAAUGAAAGUGGAGACUACAUUUUGAAAUGACCACACACAUACAGCUUGGAGACAUUGCAAUAGUCUGUGCACCUAUUCGAAAAGGUAAGUGAGUUUAUUUGUUCUUUAGUUUUUGAUUUUUUGACAUAUUUAUUAGUUUAUUAGUUGUUUUUUUUUAUUAUGUUGAAAAUUAGAGUUUUGUUUAUUAGUUUUUUUUUUAUUCAAUUUAGUUUUCAAGUCUUUAAAAUUUUAGUCGAUUAAUUUAUUUGGUUUUAUGUCAUUAUCAUCUUGUUUUUAUUUAAUUUUAGUUUCCAGGUUCAUCCUAAUUAAUUCGUGUGAUGCUUUAGGAUUUUAGUGGAUUAAUUUAUUUGAUUCUAUGUCAUUAUCAUCAUGUUUUAAUGUUGUUUUAUUCUUUUUUUAUUACAUAUUUAUGUGAUGUUUUGGGUUUUUAGAUGAUUAAUUCAUUUGAUUCUAUAUCAGUAUCACUAUGUUUGUUAAUUUUGUUUUUUUUUUUUUUGGAUUGAUCAUAUUUGGUUUACGAGUCUUUAGAAUUUUAAUUAAUUAAUUUAUCUAACCUCGUAUCAUUAAUAUUCAUGUUUUAAGUGUAUUAAGCUUUAGUUCUUGAUUGAUUCUUAUUUAGUUCAGGUGUUUUAGAAUUGUAAGCGCUUAUGAUACUAUAUUUUACAUUACUUUAAUCAUAGGCUUGUGUGUUUGAUUGAUCUAAUUUAAUUAUUGAUUAUAUCUUCAGUUUACGCGCUUGAUUAAUCUUCGUUAGUUCUUGAUUAAUAUUUGGUUGACUUUAUUUGAUCUAAGGUCGUUUAGUUAUUUGCUUUGACGUUUGUUCGUUAAAUUUAAUUCUUGGAGGUCAUUGGAAACUCAUGAAGGUUAGCUCAUACUCUCACCAUAUUGGUUUGGUUAGUUGUCAAAAAUUUUACUUUGAAAUUUUGUCUUCCUCUAGGUUGCUUUUAUUUGAUCCUUGCAUAUUGUUGUUUGCAAAUAAUGUAUUUCCUUUUAAAAAAGAAACCUUUUCUCAAAAUAUUCCUCGUUAAAGUGCAUUUCAAAAACUCAUUUAGAGUCUUUAGAAUCAAAAUAUCAUUUUUUAAAAUAAUAUGUGACCAUGUCUUGAUCGGUUCACAACUUUCUCAGUUUUCAGAAAAAAUUAUGGUUUUGAGUAAGACAUGGAUCGGAUCCAAGCUUGUGGUUCCAAAUAAAUGGAAUAAUUCUAUGCUAGAUUUGUGUAUAUCAAUUGGGGAAUUGGUGGAACCCUUAUAUAAAAUCAUUUUCUAAAAACCUUUUAUUGAUUAGCUCAUUCAACUUACUGUGUUUCAUAAAAGAAAAUUCAAUUUGAUCUAUUUAUAGUGCUUCUAAUUUUUUUCUAGUGAAAUGUUAUGGUAUUUUAGAUUUCUUGAACUUGAAUUUAGAACUUUGUUUGAGUUAAAAAUAAAUUUUAAAAUGAAAGAUAUGAAUGAGUCUUUUAGAUGGUUUUAUUUUCAUCCAGUUUUGGACACCUGAAUAUUUUUUUUUUUUUUGUAAAAAAUAAAUUAUUAGAUGAUUAUGUAAAUUUGUUAUGAUAUUUUUCCCUGAUUCUAGACAUUUAAUUAAUUUGAGUGUUUUAGAAAUAAUUUUGAGUGCUACUUAACCCUGAAUUCAUUUUUUUUUUUUGGCUAUAUAGAUACUUUGAAUAGUAUGUGUGAUUUGUUUUUUGGUACAAUUUUAUGUGAUGUCCUAUUAUUUUUUUAAAAAAAAUUCAUUUAUUCAUGUCACUAUUUUUUUACCUAAUCUGGACCUUUUGGAACUUUUGGGUGUCUUUGCUACAAUUUGUCAUUUGAAUGAGUGUUUGGUUUUUGGUAUCUUGUUUUAGAUGUGUACAUAGGAGUUGUUUCUUGAAUUUUUUUUUUGUAAUUAAAUUUCACUCCAAGAUAUUUUCUUUUUUUUAGAAAUUGUUUUGUGAUACUCCCUUUUCUAAAUGCAUGCUGAUGAUUUUGUACUUUGUUUGAAUUUGUUAUUAAUUUUUGGAGUCAUUUGACUUAUCUUGACUCAAUUUUGGCUUUGGUACUGUAUAUUAGACAUAAUGAAAUAUCUUAUAUAAUUUAUACUUGUCCUAACCACUCAAGUAUUUUUGGAGGAAUCUUAUAAAUUAUGCAUGCUAUUUAGGUAUGCUCUCUAUCACCUACUCUUUGGAAUUCUAUGAACAUGCAUUUGUUGUGAGUCAUAUCUAUGUUUGAUUCCAUCUUUGGGUGCUUAGAUGUCUGUUCAAUUUGUUCUGAUAAAAUACAUGUCGUGUGCUAUAUUUUUGUAUUAACUUUAAUGUUUUAUGAUAAUGCUUGAGAGAUAGUCCAGGUACGCAUCCUAACGUUCCCUUAUGAUUGUGGUUUGAUUUCUUUUUUGGCAUGCUAGUUUCGAAAUCACCUUAGCCUACCUUGGUACCUUCAAUCAAUUGAUUAAUUGUCAUUUCUCCCUCAAUUUAGCCAGUAAAUACCUCUUUAAGGCUUAGAGAUGUGCUACUUAUUUAAGGUAGCUUCCCAAUAAGUAACCUGAUCAUUGAAUCUAGAUUUAGGUUUUUAAAGACACGUUUUUUCAAAACUAUGAAGUCACUUUUUUAGAGUUUUUUUUCUUAUUUUAUUUUCCCUUUUAAAAUAAAUUAAACAAGUGGUGACUAUAACUCUUCCAAAACUAAUUUUUUCACCUUAAAAAACGAGUUUCGCUAUUGAGUGGGGACACACAUGAAAAAUGUGAAUCCACAUUGAGAUGAAUCAUUUUCAUGAGUAAGGUGGUGCUAUAUUUUUGUAUUAAAUUUAAUGUUUUAUGAUAAUGCUUGAGAGAUAGUCCAGGUACGCAUCCUAACGUUCCCUUAUGAUUGUGAUUUGAUUUCUUUUUUGGCAUGCUAGUUUCGAAAUCACCUUAGCCUAUCUUGGUACCUUCAAUCAAUUGAUUAAUUGUCAUUUCUCCCUCAAUUUAGCCAGUAAAUACCUCUUUAAGGCUUAGAGAUGUGCUACUUAUUUAAGGUAGCUUCCCAAUAAAUAACCUGAUCAUUAAAUCUAGAUUUAGGUUUUUAAAGACACGUUUUUUCAAAACUAUGAAGUCACUUUUUUAGAGUUUUUUUUCUUAUUUUAUUUUCCCUUUUAAAAUAAAUUAAACAAGUCGUGACUAUAACUCUUCCAAAACUAAUUUUUUCACCUUAAAAAACGAGUUUCGCUAUUGAGUGGGGACGCACAUGAAAAAUGCGAAUCCACAUUGAGAUGAAUCAUUUUCAUGAGUAAGGUGUUUGGUGUACCAACCUACUUGGGUACUUGCAUGUGCAACAAAAUGAGAAUCUGUGUUAAUACUAGUAUGCGUUUCUUAUGGGAAUCUUUCUAUUAAACUAGCCUCCAUUUGGAAUAAGACACAUGGUAUGGAAGUCUCUUAUAAAUAGAAAAGUUUUCGAUAACAAAGGUAAUAGUUUUUUGACAUUAAACUUAUAUAAUGUAGAUGGAAUGCAAAUCAUAUUAUUUUAAAUUUAAUUUAAUUACUUAUGUUUUUAUGUAAUAAACUCUUAAAUACUUACUAAAUUAUACUUAAAUGCAACUUUUAAUAAUAUUUGGAUAAGAUAAUGAAUGAAUAAGUAUCAAUUUUUGGUAUUGCCCCCAUGGAAGAAUGUCCAAAAUAAGGUGUGAAUGUAUCUGAGUCUUCACGCGCCUGAGAGGAGGACAAACAUGUCAACUUUUUGCAGAAACGUCACAGAAACGACACCGUUUCAGUUCUCCCGAACAUCUGAACAACGUCGUUAGUGUGGCUUCUGCACCGUGCCACGAAUCUCCGCGUCUGGCUUUUUGCUCAGCAUUGGCCUAAGCCUCGGUUCGCUCGGUUUUCUUCGCUCUCAAAUCACUACAAAUACGACGCCUUGGCUCUUGUGAACUUCGCCAAAUUCAUCAAACUUCAUCUCCUUCAAUCUUCUUAUUCUUAUUCUUCUUCUUCUUCUUCUUCUUCUUCCUCUUUUCAGGCUUUCGUCUCCUACAUUUUCUCAUACUGCAAUGGAAAAGAAGGUCGGUUCUCUCUCCAAUGUAACUUUUUUUUUUUUUGCUUAUUUGUUUUGGGUUUGUUCUGUUUUUUUUUUUUUUUUUUUUAAGGAAUAAGCUUGCAUGUGUGUGAUGGGUUUUGCACAUAUACUAGUUUGGCUGUUGAGAAAAGAAAAGAAAAGAAUAGAAAAGAAAAUGGAAGUUUGGGUGUUGUCUUGGAGCUUUUCGUUUUUUCUUCAUUUGUUUUUUAUUUUGAUUAUACAGAUCUUAGGUUGUUUCUUUUUUGGAUGACAGAAAAUCGUUUUGAAGUUGGAAUUACACGAUGACAAAACCAAGCAGAAGGCCAUGAAGAAUGUUUGUAGCCAUUUAGGUAUUGAAUUUUUUGAAUUGUUUGCACCCUCUGUUUGGUUGAUGAGAGAACCGAAGAAAUGACAAAAAUUCUAGAAGUAAAAUCAAAAUGUUGAGUCAAAUCCAUGCAUUUUAUGUUCAACCAAGUUUUGUAUUAGCCCCUAGAAAAUGAACAGUCACAUCACAUCACAUCAUAUACUAAGGAAUUGCAAAUCUUUCAUUUCAUUUCCAACAUUUUCUCAUCAACCAAACAUUAAUUACCGAAUUCAAACAAGAAAACCCACUUCUUAAAACCUCAAAAACUGACAAAUUUGAGUGGCUUUGAACUGUAAUUAAUGAACUUGCAGGAGUUGAAUCAGUGUCCAUGGACAUGAAGGAAAAGAAACUGACAGUAGUUGGGCAUGUUGAUAUAAUAAAUAUGGUGAAACAAUUGAGAAAGCUUUGUCACACAGAUUUAGUCUUGGUUGGAUCACCAGUAGAAGCAGCAGAGAAGAAGAAGAAGAAGAAGGAGGGGCCCAAGGAGCCCAAUGAGCCCAAGAAACCAAAAGAGAAAAAAGACAGUGAAGAUGCUUCCUAUGGUAAUCCUGGCUAUACCAUUACCACAUUCUAUCAUUAUGAUCCAGGUCAUGUAGAAGAAUAUCCCAAUGCUUGUGUUAUAUGCUAAGUGGCACGUGAUUGAAGAACUUAGAAAGGGGUGGUGUUUUUAGUUCUGAGUAUUGUCUAGUGGAGGGGAUGGUGGCUGAUUGGUCCCCAUUGCCAACAGUGGUAUACGUUGAGUUCUAUUCGUCUCGAUCAUGACUGCAAUGAGUUCAAGGUUCAAAUUAGUAUUGGGUGGUUGAACAAAACUCAAUUUCAAUUCAAAUAUGAAUCACUUGACUCGUUUGUAUCGAUUGAAUUGUAUUCAUUUCAAUCAUAAUUGCAAUAAAUUCACGAGAUGAUGUGAAGUCGUAAUACUAUCACUCGAUUGUAAAAUACAAAUUGAAGAAAUAAAUUGGGAAUUUCCCCAUCAAAGAUGUUUUAAUAUGAGUAAGAAUAAAAAAAUUCAAAUUGGGACAAGAAAUUCAAACUAAUUUAUUUAAAAAAUAACUAUUUUUACUAAUCAGCUUUUUAUGAUUUGCAUUUUUUAUUUUCAAGAUAUACAAUUAUCAAAAAUCGGUAUUUGGUGUAAAAACAAGUUAAACAAUAUUAAUUUUUUUUUAAUUCUUAAUGCUAUUGUUCUAAGGAUAUUUUUAUAAUUAUUUAGAUAAUAUUAAAUAUGAUAAAUUGUCAUUUACUAAUUUGCUAAGUUCAGUUAUUGUUCAUUUUGAGUCAAAGAACUCUCAUAGUCUUUAAAACGCGUCUACUUGGUUAAAAUGAGUUCAUACAUAUAUAGUUUUAAUAAUUUUAUCUCCUAUCUGAUGUGGGAUAUCACAACUUAAUCUAUGUUUGAAUCCUAAAAAAUAUUAAGGAAAGAAAAAAUGUUAAAAUUAAAUACAAUUAAAACAAAAACAUUAAAAAAUUUAAAAAAUAAAAUAUUGGCUCCCGUUAUAUUUUCAACUUUAGAUAUUUGUAUUUUCUACUAGUGUAUUUUAGUGAAAUCAAAGUCAACAUUUUAUUUUUAUAUUUUUAGUUUUAAUUGUAUUUUAAAUUUUUAUAAUUUCUUAUUUUAUUGAUUUUAAAUUAAUUUUAUGAUAAAAAAAUUGUUAAUUAGUGUUACGAAUCAGAAAUACUUAUAAAAAAAUGCAUAUAUUUUAAAAUAAAUGAAGAUAAAUCAUAUUUAUAAAAUUUAGGAUUCUUUUUUAUAUAUUCUAUCAAAUUGACAAGCCAAAACCCACUUUUCUUUUUAUGAAAAAUUAAUUAAUAUUUCAUUAUAUAAUAUAAAUAAAAAAUGUUUUAUUUUAUUUUAUUUUAUUUUUUUAGUGUUGGGUAUAUAUAAGGAAAAGAAAAUGGAAACACACACUUAUGAAAAAAAUUCUUCAAAUUUUGUUCUUUUUUAAAUAAACUUGAAAACUUUGUCAAACACUUAAUAAAUCUUAGGUGGUAAUUUUUUAUGAAUAAAAUUUAUUUAUUUUUAAACUUAUCAUAGUUUUUCAACUUCUACUUAAUUGAUUAGUCUAUAAAAGACUAACACAAAAAAUCCAAACAGAUAGCUUUAUUAUUCAUUGAUUUCAAGAUAUGGAAACUAUCUGCCUUUUAAUGAGUCAUUACAUUCCUAUAAAUCAUAAAAUUUAUUUCCUUUUUUUUCCUUCAUUUUCUUAGGUUUGCAAUAACCUUUUUUUACUCUUUAUGAAAUCCUUGAAGUUCAUUUAUUUAUUUUCUUUCUUUUCAAAUUCGAUGUUUAAACUUGUGCUUUUCCUAAUGAUUAUUGUAUUCUUAAGUCACAUUAAUUUAUUGACUCUCAACCCUUAACUACAAAUACAUUGUUAAUUUAAGCGAUACACAAUCAAUUUUAUUUUAUUUAUUAAAUUAUUUGUUAGAAUAAAAAUAAAAAAUAAUUUUCUAGUCAUUCUGUAUCACGGAAUUAUAUAUACUACAAACAUUGUUAAAACAUUCAUCACAUUUUCAAUUAUUUUUUAAAAUGUCAUUUAAAAAAAUCACUAAUUUAUUUUUAGAAUAACCUGCUUUUAGAAUAAAAUUUUAAAAUACUAUUUUCAGUUAAAAUUUUAUUAUUUUUAAAAUUAAAAACUAUUUCGAAGAGACCAUUUCAAAAGUACUAUAUAAGAUAUUGUAUUUUAAUUAUUAAAAUAUAUGAUUUAAAUAAAAACUCCACUAAUUCGGCCCAUACUCAUAGUGCAAAGCGUGGAGGCUUCUGGCACUAAUCUCUGGAAGGAUCCUGGAAAUUGGACUAAUCUUAUCAGGGUUUGGGUUUCUCCAAAAAGUCCAAACGACGUCGUCUCCCACAUAGGGCUUUUGGUCUUUUUGUCCACCGUUGCGUCUGGCUUUUGCUGACCACAGGCUUGACCCGGGUCGAUCUUCUUCCAGAUCUGUAAAUUUGGUGUUCCACAUCGAUCUUCUUCCUCAUCAACUUCCCUUUCUCCACUACUCUUCUUCUUUUUCAGUGUCUGAUCUGUUAUCAUUUCCAUAACUCAAAGAUGAUGCAGGUCUGUUGUCCCUCUGAUAUAGUUUUUUGUUUUUGGGUUUGCUCUGUUUUCUUUGAGGAAUAAUCUUGCAUGGCUGUGAUGGGUUUUGUCUGUUUAGUUGCAGAGAAACUGAGGAAAAGGAAAGGAAAGAAAAGAUGUUGGAACCUUUUUGAAAAGCUUAUUCUUCUCUUCUACGAUUAGAAGAAUUGAGUUUUCUUGUUGUUUCUUUUCCUAAUUUUUCUCAGAAAUCAAACAGAGCAAUAAGGAAUUUGAAUAAAAUUUAUGGGUUUUGCUUGAUUUGAGCUCAUAUUCUCACUUCGGUUGGUUUUGUAAAGAUGAAAAUUUUCUGGGUCUUCUGAUAUUUUUCUUAUUGUUGAUGGGUGUUCCCCUUUUUCUCUGAAUCAUAGCAUAUCUCAAGCUGUUCUUUAUUUUGUUGUGACAGAAAAUAAUUUUGAAGGUGGAGGUAUUCGAUGACAAAGCCAAGACGAAGGCCUUGAAGAAUGUCUCUUGCCUUCCAGGUAUUGAAUCUGAAGUUAUUGCAAAAUUCACUCUAAUCCCUGUAUGGUUUAUGUGAAAACUGAGCAAAUUUAAGAGUUUACUUUCAUCCCAAAGACCAAAAAAUUCACGCAAUGUUUUCUUUGGCUUUCUCUUCUUUUUCUUACUCUUUCCCAUCAACCAAAUUGUUUAUUUAACUCGCAGGAGAAAACCCAGUUCCUAAAAGCUUAAAAACUGCUAAAUCUGAAUUGUUUUGAAUUGCAAUUUUGCAGGAGUUAGAUCAAUUUCCAUGGAUAUGAAGGACAAGAAAAUGACUGUCAUUGGAGAUGUGGAUCCAGUAAGCAUAGUGGGCAGGUUGAGGAAGCUUUGCCACCCAGAGAUAUUAUCAGUUGGACCAGCAAAAAGAGCCAGAGAAGAAGGAGGAACCCAAGAAAGAAGAGAAGGACCCUAAAGAUCAAUUGGCUGAUCUUGUUAAAAGCAUACCAAGCUUAUAAUCCUCACUAUACCACACACUAUUUUGUUUGAAGUGUGGAAGAAGACCCGAAUACUUGUGUCAUUUGUUAGUCACCAGAUCAUAGAAGAAUCCAAAAAGGCAAAAGCAAUAGUAUGUGUGUGUGGGUGAUUAUAGAUAUGGGUCUUCUAUAAUGAUGGUGCACCCAAGAACAGAAGCCUUAUGUACAGUACUGGAUGGUUAGCGGAUGUGUGUUUGAUUUUCUAUUGUAUGCCAGUUUUCAUUUGGAAUGUAUCAAACUUUGGGUUGUUUGUUUCCAUGAAUGAAGUAAGAACUUGGAGUUGUUAUGAUAAUUGAAUAUUCUGUCUCCUUGGUGAUGGAAAUUUGAGAUGACGACAUAGUCAAGAAUAUCUCCUUUUGUUUCAAUUAUUUGAUACUUAAGCUUUUCACCAAAACAAAAAAAAAAACAAAAAAAAAAGGAGAAAAAGGAAACUUGGAUACUUAAUUAUUGAGUUGCUCUUCUUCUAUUCAUUUCAAAUUAUUGUGACUAUCUGUCUCUCAAUUCUACUUUUGUGGGAGUUUCAUGAUGGAUACAAGGAUAGAUCUUUGUUUUCUUCUUGGUAUUAUUGAAAAGUGUCUCAAAUUUUUAAUUAAGUUAAAAAAUAGUUAAAAAUAUAUUUAUAAAUAUUAUAUGUAAUGAGAUAAAGGUCAUGUAAUAGACAUAACUUGUGAAGAGUGGAUUUUGUAAUAUUUUUUAUAAUAUAAUGAAAUAUUUUCUCUCAUUUGUGGGUAUAUGCAUGAAUCACUUUAAAGUAUUAUGUACCUUUUUUUUAUGUGUGGAUCGUUUUAUCUUUGUGUUCUUUUAACAUGUUUGCAUUGAAGCAACACAUAUAUGGAUGUUGUAAAUGCACAAAUGAUCUGUGCCAAAUUCUUUUAAUAUGAGUAAGAAUAAAAAAAUUCAAAUUGGGACAAGAAAUUCAAACUAAUUUAUUUAAAAAAUAACUAUUUUUACUAAUCACCUUUUUAUGAUUUGCAUUUUUUAUUUUCAAAAUGUACAAUCAUAAAAAAUACAAUAUUUUAAAAUUUUUUAAUCCUUAAUACUAUUGUUCCAAGGAUAUUUUUAUAAUUAUUUAGAUAAUGUUAAAUAUAGGAAUGGCAACAAAGCGGGUUCGGGACGAGUCGCCCUCAUUCCAACCCCGCCUCGUUUAUUCAAAACAAUUCCCAUCUUCGUCCCAUUUAAAAAAUUAAAUGAGGCAGGACAAGGCGGGUAUGAUAAAUUCCCAUACCCGCCCCACCCCGUUUAACUUUUUUUUUUGAAUUUUAAUUUUUUUAAAUUACUUUAAAAAUUUUUAAUUACAUUAAAAUAAAUAUAUUUUAUAAAUAAUUAAAUUAUUAUAUUUUUUAUAACUUAUUUUAUUAAAAAUAUUUUAUUAUUAUCUAUAUAUUAAAAAUGGUAAAAUAAAAUUUUAAAUUAAAUUAAUUUUAAAAUUUAAAUUAAAUUAAAUUUUAAAUUUAAUUUUAUAUAUAAUUGGGGCGGGGCGAGGUGGGAUGGGACAAUACCCGAACAUGUUCUAGGUUUUAAAAAAAAAUCUUAAACCCAUCCCAAACCGGUCCUAAACCCGUUUAUUAAAAUUUAAUCAUGUCCCAUUAGGGGUGGGGCGGGUAUCCGAAAAAAUUGUCAUUUACUAAUUUGCUAAGUACAGUUAUUGUUCAUUUUAAGUCAAAUAACUCUCACAGCUUUAAAAUACGUUUACCUGAUUAAAAUAAGUUCAUACAUAUAUAGUUUUAAUAACUUUAUCUUUCAUCUAAUAUGAGAUAUCACAACUGAGUCUAUGUUUGACUCUAAAAAAAUAUUAAGGAAAGAUAAAAAAUGUUAAAAAAAUGAUUUUUUUUAUUUUCGAUUUCACCGUGAAAAUAAAAAAAAAUUACUUGAAAAUUUAUGAAUUUUAAAUUAUUUAAUCUAAGGAAAUAAGUAAAAUAUUUUUUUAAAAUAUAAAAUAUAAUUUAUUAAAUUUGAAUGUAUUUUUUAUUUUUGUUUUGUUUUUUUUUUUUAUCAUUUUUCACUUCUUUUUUUUUUCUUUCAUAUUUUCCCUUAAAUUUUCGCGGGCAUCAAACAUAACCUUAAUAAAUUUUGGGUGUGGUAAAUUUCCCUACUAUAAUUGAAUAUUGUCUCUUUGAAAGCACAACAAAAGCUAAGAAUUUAGGAAAGUUGUGAAAAUUUGGGAUGACAAUUUAUUUAUUUUUAAACUUAUCAUAUUUUAAUUUUUUUCAACUUCUGUUUAUAGAUUAGCCUACAAAUGACUGAUACAAAAAAUCUAGACACAUAGAUUUAUUAUUCACUGGUUUCAAAUUAAGCUGUGUUUUUAAACAUUUGAAUAAAGAAUAAGGGCAAGAAAAUAUCGGUUAACCUUGUCAUAUAUUUAAUCCCAUCCAAAUAUGUUUGCAAGUGAAAUAAUUGUCUUUUAACAUUGUUGCAUUUCUUUUGGGAAGAUGAUUGAGUCAUCCCAUCUUUUGUUCCGUUUUUCUUUCAAUUCUUAUUUUCAUUAAAUUAUUUGUUGGAAUAAAAAUAAGAAUAAGAAAUUCAUUGUAAUGCAAGUAAAACAUUACUUAGAUAUAAUAGUUGGGGAUUUAGAUAUAAAAAUAAAAAUUAUAAAAAAAAUUUCAUUAUAAUUUUAUUUAUUUAUUCCUACCAUGGAUUUAUAUAUGAUACAAAUGUUGUUAAAAUAUUCAUCUUAUUUUCAAUUAUUUUCUAAAAUACCAUUUAAAAAAUCACAAACUUAUUUUAGAAAUAACCCGCUUUUAGAAUAAAAUUCUAAAAUAUUAUUUUCAAUUAAAAUUUUAUUAUUUUUUAAAUUAAAAACAAUUUUCGAAGAGACCAUUUCAAAAGUACUACACAAGAUAUUGUAUUUCAAAAAUAUAUUAUUUAAAUAAAAAUUCCACUAAUUUGGCCCACACUCAUAGUGCAAAGCUUGGAGGAUUUUGGCAAUAAUUUGAGAUGACUUGACCGUUGACUCGGAGGAGGGGAGCUGGCCGAAAGAUGGAGGGGUUGGUUUUAGGGAUGGGCUUUUCGAUGUUGGGCUUGAUGUAUAAACCAAAGGGCCUGUCUUUUUCGUGGGGCUCCAUUUGGGCUUAAUGAUUGUGAUUCUUGGGAUUCUGGAAGUCUUGUGAAGUGACCAUUGUGGAAAAAUAAGUUACUCCCUGAUCACGACUACUGUCUGCGCAUGGCUCAUGAGACUUGAAAGUCUUUCAACAAGCCUACUUGCUACCUUCACAACCUCUCUCAUUUUCCCCCCUUGACAUCCAAACAAAACCUUUGUUGCGUGGCCAUCUCCAUCAUUGAAUAAUUUAUAAUAAAAUUUGGAUAGUUGUUGUGCGAGGCUACAAAUAAGUAAGUCUUGAGUCACAACAUUCGAAACCAUGCAUAAAACAUGCGUGUAUUACCAUCCAAUUAUUGGUAUCCAUUCCAUGUUCACGGAAGCAAUACUUUUUGAUUGGGAUACAACUUGGACGGGAUUGACUCCAUUUAACGUAAGUCGACUCAAUACUUAAAUUGAUUCAUAUCAAUUUUUUUUUUGCACUUUAGUUAAAGUUUAAAUAACUCGAACUUAACCAAAACCCAAUUAAUUAUUUAUAAUAUGUAUUAUUCUAUGUAAUAAUAUUAAUUUUUUUGGAUUUAAAAUAAAUUAUCAAAUUAUAAUUAUAUCAUUUUUUAGAAAGGUACAUAAAUUUUUUUUUAUUUUUGUUUAUUAUAUUAAAUCUAUGAUGUCCUAUAUCGGAUAGGAGAAAAAGUUCUUAACGCUAUAUAUGUAAAGACUCCUCUUAAUUAAAUAGGCGCGUUUUAAAGCCGUAAGAGUUUUCUUUGGACCCAAGGUGGACAAUAUCUACAUGAUUGGGGGUAGACAAUAUCUACAUGAUUGGGUGCGGAUCAUUACAAAUGGUAUCAGUUUUAAAGCCGUGAGAGCUCAAUUUGAGCCCAACUCUACAUGGUUGGUUAACCAUUAACUUGACUCAUCCCAUGAAGUAAAACCCGGGUAUCAUUUCAUUUUUUAAUAAUAAAAACAAUUUAUAUUUUGUUGAGGAUAUAAAUAAAUGAGAUUUGAAUACUGAGUAAACACCCUCAAGUAAUUGAAGUACUUGGACCAACCAAAACCCCAACUUUGACUCAUUGACAUGUUAUUCUACACAUGAUCUAAUGCAGAACCAGCGAAGCAGCUACCAAGCUUCAUUGACUCAGAGAGAGAAGGGAAGCUUCUCAGUCUCCACACACCCAAGGAACCACUCGGCCCUCGAAGCAUCUGGGAAAUCACUAUCAAGUAUAUAGAGUCUUAAUUAUAAUUAAAGAUAACUUUUAAUGAAUAUUCGGAUAAGAUUAUGAAUGAAUAAGUAUCAAUUUUUGGUAUUGUCUCCAUGGAAGAAUGUCCAAAAUAAGGUGUGAAAGCAUUCGAGUCUUCACGCGCCUGAGAGGACGACAAACAUGUUGACCUUCUGACACGAAACUCCGCGUCUGGCUUUUGCUUAGCAUGGACUUAACCCUGGGUUCGCUCGGGUUUCUUCACUCUCAAAUCACUACAAAUAUGACGCCUUGGCCCCUGUGAACUUCGCCAAAUUCAUCAAACUUCAUCUCCUUCAACCUCUCUUUCUUCAAUCUUCUUCUUUAUCUUCUUCUUUUCAGGCUUUCAUCUCUUACAUUUUCUCGUACUUCAAUGGCAAAGAAGGUCGGUUCUUUCUCCAGCGUAGCAUUUUUUUUAGCUUAUUUUUUGGGUUUGUUCUUCUCUUUUUCUUGGGUGUGAUGGGUUUUGCACAUAUCCUAGUUUGGUUGUUGAGAAAAGAAAAGAAAGGAAAAGAAUAGAAAAGAAAAUGGAAGUUUGGGUGCUACCUUGGAGCUUUUCUUUUUUUCUUCAUUUGUUUUUUUAUUUUGAUUAUGAAGAUCUUAGGUUGUUUCUUUUUCUUUUUUUGGAUGACAGAAAAUCGUGUUGAAGUUCGAAUUCAACGAUGACAAAACCAAGCAGAAGGCCAUGAAGAAUGUCUGCAGCCAUUCAGGUAUUGAAUUUUUUUAAUUUUGCACCCUCUGUUUGGUUGAUGAGAAAACUGAAGAAAUGACAAAAAUUCUAGAAGUAAAAAUCAAAAUGUUGAGUCAAAUCCGUGUGUCUUAUGUUCAACCAAGUAAAAUAGUUGUAUUAGCCCCAGAAAAUGAACAGUCACAUCACAUCACAUCACAUACUAAGGAAUUGCAAAUCUAUCAUUUCUUUUCCAACAUUUUCUCAUCAACCAAACAGUAAUUACUGAAAUCAAACAAGAAAACCCAGUUCUUAAAACCUUUAAAUUUGACAAAUUUGAGUGUCUUUGCAGGUGUUGAAUCAGCGUCCGUGGACAUGAAGGAAAAGAAACUGACAGUAGUUGGGGAUGUUGAUAUAAUAAUUAUGGUGAAACAAUUGAGAAAGCUUUGUCACACAGAGUUAGUCACGGUUGGGUCACCAGCAUAAGCAGUAGACAAGAUGAAUGAGGAGAAAGAAAAUGGAGCCAACGAGUGGUGAAAUUAUAAUUCGACUUAAAGUCAAAUUAGAAUAGGUUUUGGAAUUGGAUAAAUAUUAGAAAUUGUUAUUUAUUUAGGCUUCCUAACAAAUAUGAAAAGUUUAUUAUAAAUGGACUUAUUAUUAUCUUGAAAAAAAGAAUGCUACCAAAUAUUAUUUUAGCAUAAAUAUUAUCAAUAACUAAAAUAUACAACGGUCGAGUUUUGAGUUCAAUGCUCAAAUUAGUGAAUAAAUCUUGAUCAUGAUUGCAAUGAGUUUAAUGCUCAAAUUAGUAUUAAUCACUUUACUCUAUAUGUAUUGAUUGAGUCCUAUUCAUCUUUAUCUUGAUCGUGACAAACUUGGUGUUUCAUGAUGUAGAUUGAUGUACACAACUUUCAACCAUAUGAUUUGGAGUCAUUUUCAUUAAUUUGAAAAAAUAUAGAAAAAAGAACCUAACUUUUAUAAAUCAAUUUUAUCUUUACCAAUUUAAAAAUAUUUUAAAAUAUAUCUACUUUUUCGUAAUUCAAAUAAUUAUUUCCUAAAAUACUUACAUGAUAAUAUUAAAUUAAAUUAUCAAAAAAUUAAUUUUAUCAAAAUAUCUUAUAAACAAAUAUAAUAUAAAUUUUUAUUAUAUAAUAUAAUAUACAAAUCAUUAUGAAAAAAAUAUUUAGCAGUGAUAAAUAAAAUUUUUAUAAUUUCCUAAUUAAUAAUGAUUUUAUAUAUUGUAUUAUAUAAAUCUACGCAUCUUCUCAUUUUUUUUUUAAUAAAUCUGAAUAAAAAUUUUGUUAAUUGAUAUCAACAAUAAAAUAUUUUUUUUUUAAAUAAGAGUAUAAGUAAAACUAAAAUAUUUUAAAAAUUAAAUAAAAUUAAAACCAAAAAACUAAAAAAAUUAAAAAAUAAAAUAUUAGCUUCCAUUGUAUUUUCAACUUUUUCUGAUAUCUAUAUUUUCUAUUAGUGUGUUUUAAUGAAGUCAAAGUCAAUAUUUUAUUUUCAUAUUUUUAGUUUAAAAGCUUUUUUUUUUUUAGUUUUAAUUGUAUUUUAAAAUUUUAAAAUUUUUUAUUUUAUUGAUUUCAAAUUAAUUUUUAUGAUAAAAAAAAUUGUCAAUUAAUGUUACCAACAAGAUAAAUCAAAUUUAUAAAAUUUAGGAUUCUUUUUUCUAUAUUCUUUCAAAUUGGCGGGCCAAAACCUAUUUUUCUUUUUAUGAAAAAUUAUUUAAUAUUUCAUUAUAUAAUAUAAAUAAAAAAUGUUUUAUUUUAUUUUAUUUUAUUUUUUGGUGCUAGUUAUAUAUAAGGAAAAGAAAAUGGAAACACACACUUACGGGAAAAAAAUUCUUCAAUUUUUUUUCCUUUUUAUAUAAACUUGAAAACAUUGUCAAACACUUAAUAAAUUUUGGGUGGUAAUUUUUUAUGAAUAAAAUUUAUUUAUUUUUAAACUUAUCAUAUUUUAAGUUUUUCAACUUCUGCUUAAUGGAUUAGUCUAAAGAAGACUAACACAGAAAAUCCAGAGAGAUAGCUUUCUUAUUUAUUGGUUUCAAAAUAUGGAAACUAUCUGCCUUUUAAUGGGUCAUUACAUUGCCAUAAAUUAUAAAUUUUAUUUCCUUUUUCUCCUUCAUUUUCUUAGGUUCCCUACAACCUUUUUCUACUUCUCUUUGUGAAACCCCUUCAAGUUUAUCUAUUUAUUUUCUUCCUUUUUAGAUUCAUGGUGUUUAAGCUCGUGCUUUUAAACAUUUAAAUAAAGAAUAAGAACGGGAGAAAUCCGAGAGUCGCUCCACCCACUAGAACACUUAGAGGAGUUCUUGUGUCAAUAACUUCUAUUCCUCUCAUUAGACCAUUUGUAAUAUUCAUAGUCGCAGCUUUGACUCGAUUAUUUUCUAAUAAUUAUUGUACCUCACAAGUCACAUUAAUUUAUUGAUCGACAAUACCUUGAUCUAUAAUUACGAACACAUGAUUAAUAUUAGAUAUCUUAAUCGAGGAAAAAACUACAUCCAAGAUUGAACCAAUGAUUUGAAUGAUAUACAAUCAAUUCCAUUUUUUAUUAAUAUAUUUGUUGAAAUGAAAAUAAAAAUAAGAAAUAAUUUUUUAGUCAUUCCUCAUGGUACUAUAGAUUUAUAUAUAAUGCAAACAUGGUUAAAACAUUAAUAGUAUUUUCAAUUAUUUUUUAAAAUGGCAUUUAAAAAUCACAAAUUUAUUUUGAAAAUAACUUGUUUUUAAAAACUAUUUUCGAAGAGACCAUUUCAAAAGCACUAUAUAAGUGUGGACUGCGCAUUUUACGCAUGCGCUUUCACUCGAUGACGUGACUCGCUUUUUUAUUUGGUUGGUAAAAUUUUGAUUUUUUGAAAAGACUUGGAGUCGCCACUUAUUUUUGUUUUAAUUUUUUUUUAAGGGAAAACAAAAUAAGAAAGAAAACCCUAAGUGUGACUCUUUACUUGGAAAAGACAGUCUGUGGAGAACAAAUAUGGGUUCGGGGGUUAGGUUACUUAUCGGGAAGGUACAAUAGUAAACUGUAACACCCUUCUAAACCCUAAGAAUUAGGUCUCUACUGAAUAAAUUAAAGCAAGUGUGGCAAUUGAUUGAUUAAUUGUGGAUACCAAAUAGUGAUCAAGAGUGUGAAAGCAAGACACGCAUGAUAAUGAAUAAAUAGAAAAAUAUAAUCAGCUAUUAGGCGUACCUUAGUCACAAACUGAGUGCUAUCAUGAGAGACAAAGUUAGUGCAUAAAUACAAAAGUAACCACAUAUAUAUCAUAGAGUGAGGUAAGCCAAUCAAGCAUAGCAAUCAAUCAAUAAAUGAGAAAAUUCUAUAUGUUGGGCCCCACCAAAGCCCAAUUUGUCUUGCAUGAAUUAGUCCCACAAAUUCCAUUAUUUUAGAAUUAUAAAAAAUUUCAUUCAUGCUUAUUAAAAAUCGAGAAAAACGGAAAAUCAUUUUAAAAUCAAAGAAGAAUUUGUGAAGGUGCUUGCCUGAAAGAAAAAAGGAACAAGUUUAUUAAAAACAGGAUUCUUGGUGACCCUA